rnacentral:rRNA from 1 species
GUGGCGAGCGGCGGACGGGUGAGUAAUGCCUAGGAAUCUGCCUAGUAGUGGGGGAUAACGUCCGGAAACGGGCGCUAAUACCGCAUACGUCCUACGGGAGAAAGUGGGGGAUCUUCGGACCUCACGCUAUUAGAUGAGCCUAGGUCGGAUUAGCUAGUUGGUGAGGUAAUGGCUCACCAAGGCGACGAUCCGUAACUGGUCUGAGAGGAUGAUCAGUCACACUGGAACUGAGACACGGUCCAGACUCCUACGGGAGGCAGCAGUGGGGAAUAUUGGACAAUGGGCGAAAGCCUGAUCCAGCCAUGCCGCGUGUGUGAAGAAGGUCUUCGGAUUGUAAAGCACUUUAAGUUGGGAGGAAGGGCAGUUACCUAAUACGUGAUUGUUUUGACGUUACCGACAGAAUAAGCACCGGCUAACUCUGUGCCAGCAGCCGCGGUAAUACAGAGGGUGCAAGCGUUAAUCGGAAUUACUGGGCGUAAAGCGCGCGUAGGUGGUUUGUUAAGUUGGAUGUGAAAGCCCCGGGCUCAACCUGGGAACUGCAUCCAAAACUGGCAAGCUAGAGUAUGGUAGAGGGUGGUGGAAUUUCCUGUGUAGCGGUGAAAUGCGUAGAUAUAGGAAGGAACACCAGUGGCGAANGCGACCACCUGGACUGAUACUGACACUGANGUGCGAAAGCGUGGGGAGCAAACAGGAUUAGAUACCCUGGUAGUCCACGCCGUAAACGAUGUCAACUAGCCGUUGGGAGCCUUGAGCUCUUAGUGGCGCAGCUAACGCAUUAAGUUGACCGCCUGGGGAGUACGGCCGCA